rnacentral:rRNA from 1 species
CUGGCGGCGUGCUUAACACAUGCAAGUCGAACGAAGCAUCUCGCCCGAAGAAAUGGAGUGCUUGCACAAAGUGGAUUCAAUUGAGAUGACUGAGUGGCGGACGGGUGAGUAACGCGUGGGAAACCUGCCCUAUACAGGGGGAUAACAGUUGGAAACGACUGCUAAUACCGCAUAAGCGCACAGCACCGCAUGGUGCAGUGUGAAAAACUCCGGUGGUAUAGGAUGGUCCCGCGUCUGAUUAGCUAGUUGGUGAGGUAACGGCCCACCAAGGCGACGAUCAGUAGCCGACCUGAGAGGGUGACCGGCCACAUUGGGACUGAGACACGGCCCAAACUCCUACGGGAGGCAGCAGUGGGGAAUAUUGCACAAUGGGCGAAAGCCUGAUGCAGCGACGCCCGCGUGAGUGAUGAAGUAUCUCGGUAUGUAAAGCUCUAUCAGCAGGGAAGAUAAUGACGGUACCUGACUAAGAAGCACCGGCUAAAUACGUGCCAGCCGCUGC